rnacentral:rRNA from 1 species
AUUGAACGCUGGCGGCAGGCUUAACACAUGCAAGUCGAACGGUAACAUGGGUGCUUGCACCUGAUGACGAGUGGCGGACGGGUGAGUAAUGUAUGGGGAUCUGCCGAAUGGAAUGGGACAACAGUUGGGAAACGACUGCUAAUACCGUAUAAUGUCGCGAGACCAAAGUGUGGGACUUUCGGCCGACAUGCCAUUUGUAUGACCCGACUAUGGGAGUUAG